CGGAAGCCGAAAGGAUUGGGCCAAGCUUUUCUGGAGCUAAGGGAAGACUGCGGAUUUGAGGCCCUGGAGAUAUAACGAUAAACAGAACAAAACAAAACAAAAAAACCCUGGUUCUUGCCUGGCACACAGUUCAAUGGAGGAGUAGACAUAAGAAGAAACAAAUAUGGCACAGUGUAUUUUUUCUGGACUUCAACCUGAAACUGCUAUCAGAUAUCUUGACACUUCGAAUAAAGUCUACACGUAAGAGAACAGAGCUGAGAGAUGGAAAGAUGCUGAAUCCCAAUGAUGUCCUUUGAAAUGCUGGGUGAAGCUGGGCCUGAAGAUAGAGCUACCUCUAUAGUUUUCAGAUACUUAAGUCAAUAAAUACUCUUGUUUGCUUAGAUAACCUUGAGUUAGAUUUUAUAUUACCUCCAAAAGAGUACUAUAUUGGAUAUUUUCCAUUUGCCCUCCAAAUUCACUCUCUACUCUUCUCUACCCUCUCUGUGCCCCAGGGGACUAACCUAUCUGAAUUGCAUCAAAGAGUUCUGUUGCCCUCUGGUUUCUGGUUGUGUUCAGCCAAUGGAAGUCUCUCUGGAGACUGAAGUCAGGGCAAUUAUUCCCCAUUUAUUCCUAGGGGCUCUCACUGGUAGAUACGAAUGGGUUGGCUGGUCCUUCUUGCAGAGGCUGUAGAUCCUGUCAAGUGUCCUUCUCUCUCCAGGUUUGAGUAGCUUUUUUCUCCCUUCACACCAUCUGAUGUAGGGGAGGGAGUAGUACCUCCCUACAAUUGCUAGUCCUGGAUUAAAGCAUUAUGCUUAAUUGAUUUCCUGUAAC